rnacentral:rRNA from 1 species
AUUGAACGCUGGCGGCAUGCCUUACACAUGCAAGUCGAACGGCAGCGCGGACUUCGGUCUGGCGGCGAGUGGCGAACGGGUGAGUAAUACAUCGGAACGUACCCUGUUGUGGGGGAUAACUAGUCGAAAGAUUAGCUAAUACCGCAUACGACCUGAGGGUGAACGUGGGGGACCGCAAGGCCUCACGCAGCAGGAGCGGCCGAUGUCUGAUUAGCUAGUUGGUGGGGUAAAGGCCCACCAAGGCGACGAUCAGUAGCUAGUCUGAGAGGACGAUCAGCCACACUGGGACUGAGACACGGCCCAGACUCCUACGGGAGGCAGCAGUGGGGAAUUUUGGACAAUGGGGGCAACCCUGAUCCAGCAAUGCCGCGUGUGUGAAGAAGGCCUUCGGGUUGUAAAGCACUUUUGUCCGGAAAGAAAUCGCGCUGGUUAAUACCUGGCGUGGAUGACGGUACCGGAAGAAUAAGCACCGGCUAACUACGUG